UGGGUGCUGGCCUGGAGGGACGCGCCGAGGCCGCAAGCCGCCGCCGGGGCAGAGGCGCAUGGCCCAGGUUGGCCCCGGCCCAGGGCCUCGGGCUCUGCCGCUGUCCUGGCCUGGCGGGCAGAGCCAGACGCACAGCCCGCGCCUCCCCACCUUCUGGGCUCUAACUCCGGGAACUGAAGCAGUGGGACUCCUGCUCAGGUUUGCUCUAAGAGAGGAGAAGGUUGAUGGUUACAUGGAACUGGUGGUCCCAAGGCUCUUCCAGGCAGUGCGGUGUUCUUCUGGUGCUGUGAUCCGGGUAGUGCAACCUGAACUCAUCCACCUCCCCCAGGCAGAAGGGGGUGGCUGCGUUUUUGCAGGCUCUACCUUCCAGCUUGAGCUCGAGAAUCUAUUGCUUCAGAACUCUCAGUACCAUGAAGUCAGUGGAAUGAUCACUGUCAAGAAUGAGUGCGCAACAGGGGAGCAAAUGACAUCAUUCAUCUCUGGCACAGUGGGAAUGAGUGGAGAUGGACGUGGUCAAGGAACAUUUCUUCACUCCAUGCUCUUAAUAAUUGAGAAACACAUGGGGAUACUGUUUCUAACCCUAACUACUGAAACAACAGGUGGACCUGGAAGUCAUUCAAGAACUGAGAUAAGGACAGCUUCUUUCAUAAAUGACCGGGGAGGUGAAAGUCUAGAAAAUAAACAGUGAACUUCUCACUUUGAAAUAGCAAUAAUUAUAGAGUAAUAAAUAUCAAAUACAUAAGAGAAAAAAGACAAAAUUAAAGACAUUUGUUGCAUUACAUGAAAAAAGCCAUGAGAUUAAAAAAUGUAGAGAUUUUGACUUCUUCUAAAUAAAAUUGAUAAGCAAGCAUUAAUGCUUUCCCCUCUGUACCUUCUGUAGUCACACACAAAUGGACCCACCCCAAACACACACACGCACUCAGAGUUUACUUUUAACAAGAGUUGAAGCCAUACACAUUUGUGUUUCUAUUUGAAGACACAGAUUGGGGAGAGCAUAAGGGAGGAACAUCUCAGGGGUUUCCAGAAGCAAAGUGGAUCAUGGCUCAGCUGAGCAGCUCCUCAAAAGCCACUCCCAGCUGUGCUCCAGUCUGCCCCACUGUGAAGGCUAAACUGCUAAUUGCUUUCCUUCCCUUUCUUGCAGUAAAGUGUAGGUAUAAGACCUAAUUCUGGGUCAUGCGGAGUACAUGGAAAUCUGCUGGGG
rnacentral:lncRNA from 1 species